GACGCCACCGCUCCUCCGCGCCUGCGCCCAGAGCGCCUCCACGCGGGCGCCGCUCGGCCUCGGCGACGGCCGGCCCCUGCCCGGCAGCCAGUCGCCAGGGUCCCGGGACGAGCCGACGGAUCUCUGCGCCCAGAGGUUAUUCAGCCAGUCAAGUUUACAGGAACGAGUAUUCUCCUGGCUUCCAGUUUUCGUUACUAUUUCUAACUUCCCAGACUCGGGUUUGGAACCCUGCUUCCUAAGCUCCUGGAGCGCACCCGUCUCUACUCGCGCACACUCCCAGGGAGAGAGGGUACGGCUUUGUUUGCGGGUUGCCUGCCUUCUGAGAAGAUUGUUAAGUCUGCGCUUGUUACCUCGUUGCAAGAGCCUGAAACCAAAUCUCAGCCCCUGGAGGGUAACUACCAUCAUCCUUGGCUGGCAGUGAACCCGGAUGUACAGAGGGGAGCUAGUUGUCCUCAGGUGCCCACACUUCCUCCCAGUCUUCACAGGCGGCCCUCUCUGCUCUCGGACUCCACAGCAAGAUGGGACUGGAGGCGCAUCUCGAAGGUGCUGGCAAGGUGGCCGCGGUCCCGUACGAACCUGGCUGUUAUUCCUAAUGGCAUCUCUGGGCAGGGUCAGCCUGUCUUGGGCCUCAAACCACAGCCCACCUGAGGACUGUCUGAGGAGGAGGAGCCUGGCCAAUGUCUGAAGCAUCCUGGCGGCCAUCGGGUAAAGGCAAGGGAGCGGCCACACAGGCAGACGCGGGCGGCUUUGGAAACACCUCGCAGGCACCACUGCGUGACUCUCUCCUGGGCGUCGCUGCCCCCCCCAUGCCCAGGACGGCCCAGAUGAGAGUGGGCAGGGGGCCACGCGAGCAGAGAUGACCCGCAGGCAGGUCCUUCUCAGAGGAAUCAGCUUCUAAGUGUGACUAAGCCUGAGGAACACCUUCAUUUACCUUCCUUACAUUUUGUCUUUUCUGUGUGCCCAGAAGUAACAUCUGAUAA